CCCUGCCUUUCUGUGGAGAUGCCUGUAGAUUCAGGCCCACCCAUGUCUGAUAGUAAGUUGUAAGACCCUCUUCAUUCCGCAAGGGUCUGGUCCCUUACCUUGCAGGGAGGAAGCUGCAGAGAGAGGCCGAGCAGAUUGCAGGGCAGGUGGGCCUUGCUGGGUUCCCUGCCCUCGGUAUUCUCAAUAGAUCACAUCCUUUGUGUCCAGUGCACACACGCCUGCAGCCCAGCUGGAAUGAAGGAAUGCGAAGCUAGUACAAACAUCCUGAAACUGUGAAGGAUGCACUUGUUGGAACAAGGAGGCAACUCAGAGUAAAGGUAAGACAAGACAGAGGUGGUUCUGAGGGGAUCAAACCUAUGCCUCUUGGGGUCUAGAGACCUCCGUCCAUAACUGAAG
rnacentral:lncRNA from 1 species